ensembl:lincRNA 6720483E21Rik RIKEN cDNA 6720483E21 gene
CAGCCACCGCAGCCCAGCCGAGGAAGUUGACUGACGCCGCUUCCUUCCAUCCUUCCACCCACCUUUAGACCCUCGCACCCACCCCCAGACCUUCUUAAUUGCAAACCCCUCGGAGGCUUGAGACAGCCAGGGAUGCGGUUUGCGCUCUGUGUUCUUUCCCAAAACCAUUUCCUAAAUCCCUUGAGGGGAGGGGGGGGGGUGUGGAUAAAAAAACUUCAUCUGCCAUUUCCAAUCCUGGCCUUCUUUCCUCUCAUUGCUCUAGGAUUAACUCAGUAUAAUGCCCAGGAAAUCACGCUGUGCAUCCCAUAAAGGCCCUGCGGACACAUUUUCACAUCCCCGUGCAAGACUCAUACUUCUGCUGCGGUUGCAUGUGAAGUAGAAACAUCAGUUAACAAAUUGAAUUGGCUUUGCUGCUGAAAAGCUGCCAGCAUCGUUCAGAAGAAAGGGAAUGGAAAGCAAAAUAUCUGGAAGCAAAGUGAACUGUUCAUACAGUGGGAUUCUGUUCACUCCGUAAAUGAAGAUGUUUGGAAUCUGGGAUGUUAUGGGCAGGCUGAAGCAGAUUCGGACCCCGAGAGAGUCCAGGGACCUGUCUCAGUGCAAGGCUUUCCCCACAGGACAGUGACCCGGUGUGCAAAGCACCUUCCACCCCGGGAGAGCUCCUUUAUCUCAAAUGGAGUCCUAUGAGAAGACUAAUUCCUCUGAUUCUAAAACUGUGGGUUGUAAUCCUGUGCUAGGGAACUGAAGGUGGGGCUGUAAAAGCCCUCACAACAGUCCAAGGGUUUCCAGUGUGCAACAACCAAGAUGUAAAUCAAAACAGCCAAUGUAUAAGGAAGCUGAGGUAUCUCUGGUGACUCCAGCCUCUGAUGUGUAGUGCCACUUCAGGGCAGGCUUAGCACUUCAAGAGCAUGCACACAUUUCCAACAACUUCUGAAACACCCCAAACAUGCUUCUACCAUUUGGGGCUGUGUGUUCAUGUGAAGCUGUGUUCCCAGGACUGAUGGUUGUAAAAUCAACACAAUGGAUAUUCAGCCAGUUUAAGUCACUGUAAAAAGAAACAAACACAUGCUUCUCAUUAGUGUGCAAUGUCACCUUAGUCUUUAAUAAAUGCUAAAGCCAUAUGUAUGCC